UAUACCAUUUUUUAACAGAAUAUCCAUAAUUAAUUUUAUUAAAAAAAUAAAAAAUAUAAAUAUUCUUUUCAAUCGUUAAUUGAAAAGAUAAAAAAUAAUAUAUAAUUUAGCUACAACCUAAAAUUAUGGAAAGUAGUUAAGUACAAUCGAUAUCUUCUCCUUAGAUUAAUUCUCUCUCAGUUUAUUUUAAAAAAAAAUCUCGAAGGCCGUCGUGUACGAUCAACAAGGUCCUCCCGAUGUCGUUACAAGAAUUGUAGAAUUGCCGCCUGUAGAAGUGAAAGAGAACGAUGUUUGUGUUAGGAUGAUAGCUGCGCCUAUCAACCCAUCUGAUAUUAAUCGAAUUGAAGGGGUAUAUCCUGUGAGGCCGCAAGUUCCAGCUAUCGGAGGAUAUGAAGGUGUUGGAGAGGUGUACUCGGUUGGUUCUGCAGUGAAGGGUCUCUCACCUGGCGAUUUGGUCAUUCCAUCCCCCCCUUCCUUCGAUUAUAACAAAUGGCCAUGUACAGUUUUAUAUGUUAGUUCCUUUACUUAGUUCAAUGACCAGUGAUGAUUAUAGCUUGUGGUAUUGUUUCUUGGCAAGAGUAUUUUCUUUUUUCAUUUUCUGUUUGGGGAGAGAAGUAAAAAAAAUAUGAGUAGUUGUGGAAGAAGUGGUGCUAUAAGACAGUAUAUAAGAUCGAAGGUGCCUUGUCUGAGAUGGACUCCUGAGCUUCAUCACUCUUUUGUUCAUGCAAUUGAAAGACUUGGUGGCCAUAAAAAGGCUACACCUAAGCUUGUUCUUCAAUUAAUGGAUGUUAAAGAACUCACCAUUUCACAUGUCAAAAGCCAUCUCCAGGUUCAUUCAUUUCUUUUUUAAUUUUCCUAAAAAUAUUUAAUUAUUAUAAUUUAUUUUUCUUUUUGGCAUAUUUUACUCUUUUUGUCUUUGUUGGCUUUCUUUAAUCAUAUUUUUGUUUUUGGGGUUUUUCUUCUUUUGUUUAAAUUAGAUGUAUAGAAGCAUAAGAGGAGAUCUGGUUAAACAAUAAUUUUUUUAUAAAGACCUAGAGAGCUAUAUGAUACAUAUAUCUAUAUAUAUAGACUGGAUAUACCUAUUAUAUAAAUGUACUUUCCAUUAAAGUGCUUCUACAAAGCUUAAAAUUAGAUCGUAUGACCUUUCCCAUCUUUGCAUAUAUAAACUUGGCUUCAUUUAUUUAUUAUUGGUUCAUUUUUAAAAUAAUAUUUACACUGUGCCAAAAUUGGGUGAGAGAAAAAGAUCAAUAUCUCUAUUCAAAUCUUCUAAUAUUAGCAUUAUCAUGAUGAAAAUUAUAUCCUCAGUCACAUUAUUUUUAUUAUUUAUUAAUUUCUUAAAUGUUUUUUUUUCUUCUAUUUUUAUUACCAAAUUUUGUAUUAUUUUUAAUUGUUUUUUUUUUUUGUUUUGUUUUGGGGUAUAUAUUCUUGACGUAGUUCCAUAUGUUUGUGCACAAGAUUGCCACUUUUGAAAAGGCUGCAUGUUUUCAGGCAUUGAUUCAGUUCAGUGAUGCGGAGAUUGCAUCUUCCGGAAGGAAUGCCUUGGAUGGAAGGAGCAGAGGUAUCUCCUUUCAGAUCAUGUUGGUUCAUGCCACUUACGCAUUUCAUAAUCUUGCCCACACUGAUCUAAAUAUAAAAUUCCAGUCUCAUCGUAGCAGGUAAGACUGCAACAAGAAGAUCUCUUCUCUCUUCUUCAUCUUUUGUGUCUAAAAUAGUGAUUCUUUUAUCUCCUUUUGUAUUUGUUUGUUAGCGGUUUUGGGUUUUGAGAUGCUUCUAAUUGAUGUGUACUUUUUGUCAUCUAUGGUGUUUAGUGAAGCCUGCUAGCCAGAACACAGAUGUGUUGCAAUUUAGUAAUUUCCUUGAUCUUCUAAUUGUAGUUUAAAUUUAAAGCGUUCUCUAUCAACUUGGCAUUAUAUUCUAGAAACUUUAAUGUCAUUCUCUUUUUGACCAUAGUUUGUGCAGUCUUGUUGCUCAUAUAUCUCCUUUUUUGACUGAUGAUUUUAUAUUUUUAAGUUCACAAUAGACAAUAAGAUUGAGUUGUAAACUUAUGCACACAUUUAUACGUUCUUUUCUGCCCCUGCCUUAGUUUCUUCCGUUUUGGAUUGCUGCAUUUGUUGUUAGGUGACACUACCUAGAAUUUUCAAGAGAAUGUGUAGUCUAAUGCAAAAUUUGAAUACUACCUAGAGACUUUUCCAAUUCUUAUCCCUAAUCAGUUGUAUGUAGAUCCAAAACGAAUGAUGAGUUCAAAGUACAAUCAAU